AAAAAAAAAAAAAAAACACUGAUCUUUCUGUGCAUCUCUAGAAUCAAAGCAUCACCUCUGAACCUCUUCCAAAUAUCCUUUUUCUAAACUCCAUUCAAGUGACUAAAAUUGGCAGGUUAUCCUCUGACCCAAUACGGCGUUCCACGCCCAACCUGCGCCCUGCGUGCCUUUCCUGCCCCACCGUGUGGUCCCCAUGCUGCAGCCUUGCCCAGGGCUGGGCGCGCGGAGGACCCCGUGAAGGGUCGGGCUGCUGUGGCAUCACGCUCCAGUGUUCUCUGUGGAAACCGAGCUCGGAGCCCGUUCCGCCACGGGCAGUGCCCUGGAAGUUCGCACAGAGCCAAGCCUGCCCACGGGGCUGCCGGGAAGCCUCUGUUUAUGAAUGCCAUGUACCAGCGUGUUGCAUCCCGUCAAACACCAGCUCCCGCGGCCACGGCGUGUGAUGUCUCUAGAUGGGAGAACACAGGUGACCGUGGAUCCUGGAGUGCACGGUUCGUGGGGCGGACGCCGUUCCAGAAGCCAAGGCCUCCCGCCGGGUCUCGUGUACGUGUGGCCGCCAGCAGGAAGGUGAGGUGCGCCCCAUCCUGCCGGUAAUGCUCCACGCAGCCUUGCAAGUGUGGAUCCGCAGCGUGGAUCGAAGGUGAGCACGCGGCCGGGCGACAGUGUGGAGCCCCCGGCCUCGAGUCGGAAAAAUGCCAUUGGUAGUAGUAGUAUGAAUAGAAAUAACAGCCACCCACCUUGUCCCUUGAGAGGUACAACCUUGACCCCAGAACGCAUGGAAACGGGGAAUGAGCCGGUGUGAUAAGUAGGAUUCCUAACCCUCCGGGCAGGGACGUGAGAGGAGCGGUGCCUCAGGGACAUGCACCGCGUGGCUGUGUGCGCGGGUGAGGGGCCAGAGCGCGCCCCCGCCCGGUGCCCUGUGCACCUGCAAGCCCAGCGGGUCCGGCGGGCACCUGCGUCCCAGCAGGAAGGAGCACCUGCUCGGUUCAGAGGGUAGAAGCUCUUGUUUGCAGCUGGAUAUCUCCCCCUCCCUCCAGGCUUUUUCUUCACGUGCAUUGACAGCAUUUAUUAAUUUUAAGAACGAAAACGUAAUGCAUAAGCGGUCCAGAAAAUUUGAACUGUGCAGAACUUACUCUGCACGUCAAAGUCCUCGGGAAUCUUGGUACUAAGAUGCCUACGCUCGGGCAAAUUUCCCCUUGGCUGCGGGACUUUUAUAAACACGGACGAUGCCAAUCUAGUAGUUUAAUCCGGUUGUGCUGGCAGCUCCUGGGAUCAGGACGCAGCGGGGGCCAUGAGCGAGGCCUGCAGGGGGGCAGGGACAGGCUGCAGAGGGCAGGCCCCAGGGCAGAGGGGACGGGAGGUAGCUGGGCGGGGCCCCCAGUGGUGCCGGACUGACGGCCAGGAUGCCACUGUCCCCGCCUCCCCUGAACCGCCUCUCCAGGGGGACCUUCGGGGGAAGCACCCAGCUCAUUCCUGAGGGACGUGGCUGGAGUGGGGCUGAGGCCCGAUUCCAGAGGAAAGAGCUGCUGCGGGGAUGUAUACCCCUCCCUGUCUCUUUCGUGCUUCACACUUCGGGCAGGCGGACGGAGCUCCUGUGGGUCCUACUGGUGACGCUCGCUGGCUUCUCUCAGAAAAGGCCCUUUCUGCACAUUCGGGCCCUGCACGGUGCUCUCAUUCUCCUCCCGGGACCCCCGUGCUCCCAGCCCUGUCCCCCGGCUUGUGACUCACGUGCCUGUCCUGUGCAGCCCCCAGGAGCAUUCCCCAGGCGGGCCAAGGGAGGAAGGCACCAAGCCGGUCUGAGGAUCUCACGGUGGAAGGCCUGGCCACGUGGGUCAGGCACACUCCCUCUGACGUUCUGCCCUUACUCGAGCCGGUGUGGCGAGAAACAGCGAAUCAGCGUUCAUGGCUAAAAGUCCGAAUGAGGGAAAGGAAAGUGAUGUCAGGCCCGGACAGGAUCCUGCAGCCCGGAAGCCCUCUGCUCUGUCGGCCACCUGUUCCGGGGGCAGGUGAGUGCGUCCCCACACGUGCCACGUGGACUGGGAGCUGGUGGCGAGCAGACCUCAGGCCAGUGAGAGACCCGCAACCCAGCCUUACAAGCGUAGGGGGGCCGAGUGCUGGGAGGAACGUGACGCGGUGCUCAGCAUGCCGGUGGGACCUAGAAGUCCCGCAUUGGCCGCGGCUGAGAGGUGACGUUUAGGCUGCAGUGUAGCCAGAGAGCUGGCCUGGAGGGAGGGGACAGCACCAGAGCGGGGGACACCGGGCCUGGCCCAGUUUCAGUGCCUCACAAGUGUGUUAAGAUGCUCGGGUAGCGGCCACUUGGGUCGGCCUCACGGGGAACCUGAUUGCGUUUCUGGUUCGUUCUUUGGGCGCCUGGGGUCAUUUCAGAGGUGGGACGUGGAGGCCGGUUGCAGAUCCCACUGGGGCGCGGGCUACGGCUUUCAGCCACCUCCGAUGAGCGAGUCCGCGGGUCACCCUGGUCAUCACGGGUGGGGGGAGGGGGACUGAGUGCAUCGUGGCCCCAGGGUGUUUCUUGGAAAUUGCUUUUUUAAAUAAACCCCUGACUAGCUUGUUUUCAUUUGCUUCUGUGCCCGAGAAGUUCAGAAAUAGACAGUUAUUCUGGGAUCCCGUGGACCCAGGUGCUGCUGGGCGGUGCUGGGAAGGGCUGCGCGAGCCGUCUCGGCCAGUCCUGCCCGGUGACCCGGCCGCUCUCCAAGCCUCGCUUCUGGAUGGUGGCAUGGCCCGCGACUCCCAGUUACCCUGCAGCGUUAGCUUUCUCUCUGAGGGCUUCACGUUUGCUCUUUCCUCGGGCGUCCGUGAAACCGGGUUCCUGUCCGCGUAUGGCUGCCCCACCGUGACCUGGAGUCGUCCAGGGCUGUGGUGGCCUCCGUGGCCCCAGCUCUGGGUUGGGAGUCGCCGGGUGAAGCCCUGGCACCCCCCCCGCCCCCCGGUCUUCCCAGAGGUACUCCCACUCCGCUGGGGACUCGCUCGCUCUGGACAAACAAUCCGUGGAGCCCCAGGGACUCGGGCUCUGUGUAAGCUGGCCCUCGCCCCAGCGUGCCAGCCCCCCACUCACGCUGCACCCCGGCCUCCAGGGAGUCCGUCCAGCAACGUGCUGCAGCUGCCAGGGCCUCCCGGGAACCUUGGAACCGGGGCCCCGACUCCCUUUCCUGCUCAGACUUACCUGCGUGCUUCCUCAGAGAGAGCCGCAGGGACGAGGGACGUGAGCAGGUCCCCGGUGCCUAGACAGACUCAUUCGAAGGGCCUGUCCCUUCCCAGGUGGAUUUGGGUCUUGCGGCCGCCCCUGCCUGUUGGGUCUGAGAGUAGCUUCUCGAGGCCGCAGCUUGGACCCUGGGUGUGGGUGCGUGUGUGCACCCCUGGAAUGGUGUGGCCCCCCUUUUGGCCUUGAUGGGAUCUAAAUUUGGACUCUCAGCUUCAACAUUAGCUGCUUGGCUAAGGCAGGGCAUGUUGGGGGUUAUUUUUAAGCCCUUCUGGGGAGUUUGCUCCUCCGGGAGGGGCUGAAUCUGCUGUCCCAUGAGACUGUGUGGACAGGCCCCCCCCCCCCAUGCCCUGGCCCUGUGGGGGCCGCAGCGGGGCUGCCAGGAGAGGGGCUGCCCUGCACCAGCCUUCAGCAGGACCGUUGGGAUGGGUGUUGAGCUGCUUUGGAAGGUGCAUAGGUUCCUGCCCCCCCACACACAAGCCGCGGUACACGUGAUGUCGUGACCCCAGAGUAGCUGUAGCUCCGUUCACGCCCUUGGGGCCACGUGGGACUCACGGGGCCCGGUGACCGAUACGGAGCUCGAAGGCGAUACAGUCCAUCGUGUGUGUUUAUUAACAAAAGCCCGGGCCCGUCGCUUCUCGGAAACCAUGAUGUGGGGUUACCCGGUUCCGCUUGGGUGAGGUGUGUGGCCGUGCCGGGGCCCGGGACCGCGCUGGGGCAGACGGCGUGCGUUCCAUCCUCCGCCAGAGCCGCCGUCCCUGGGGACCGCCCCCCCCACCAGCCUAUUUGAUGCCGGAAAGAAUCUCUCUUAGAGUUUGAGUCUCAAAACAUUCCCCCAGCAGCUUUCAAACCGCUGUCCGUGUGCAGCCGGGAGGCAGAGUGGACGGGGCGGCCCCACCCCACGGCAUGGGCUCCGCCUGAGCGCCCCCUCCCCGCUCCUGAGCCAGGGCGUCCUAGCUUCUCCUCCGUCGCCUGGGGACCCACCUUUUGCAGAAGACGGAAGGAAACUGGGACACAGGUAACCCGACGGAGGUGGCAAGAUGGCCGAUCCAAGCCACGCUCACAGACCGGGCAGGUUUCCCCUCACCCCUGCUCUGGCUGGAAGGGGGCACCCAGGGCCCCUCCCCGUGGAGCCGGGUGACAGCCGUGCUGGGGUACGGUGGCAGCGAGGCUCUGGGGCGCUCCUGGGGGUCCUGCUGCCUUCCUGGCCAUGCUGCCCCAGCCCCGGCAGCCAGCUCUCCGUGAGGCCGACCUUCCUGCUGGCUCUGGCCCCAGGCCAAACGCCUGAGCUGAGCUCGGAGCAGAAGGUCAGGGCUCUAAGGCGCGAAGGGUGGGGGCUGUGUUCGCAGCAACAGAUCCCCAGGUGCAGGCCUCCCUCUGUCGGCUUUCCCCCCUCCCUCCAUGACCUCCUGGUCACUGUGAUGCUCGCGGAAGCCAGGACCCAGCCCUGGAGCCCGCGCCCUGCGGGCCUGGGACCCUGCACCCCGCCUGGUGUCCGCCGACAGGAAGCCUCAGGCCUGCUUGCGGGGGGAGGCGGCGGGGAGGCG